CCCAGUCCCAAUCCCAAUCCGGUCCCAAUCCCAAACCCUAACCUCAAGUGGGUCACGCUCGCGGCGGCGGCGGCGGCUCGCCGGGGUCCGAGCCUCCGAGGGUGCGGCCCCGUCGUGGAGACGGCCUAACCGUUCGCAGCGCGGCGUGGUACCUGACCCUGCCCCCCGCCUCACCGGUCACGCCGCCGCACGCGGGCCACCGUCGCGCCGGGUCUUCACCGCCCCACAUGGCCCGUUCAGUUCCAGCCGGUUUUCGCCGCUCUCGGCAGCGGUGGUUCUUACCCUUUUCUGUUGUUAGCUCUGCCUGGUUCAGGCCUUGUGUAGUACUAAUAACCUAAACCUACUACUAUUUGUCUUAGGUGACCUGGUCAUAUGCUAGUUGCCUAUUGAGCGCGCGUGCUUUGCUGCUUCCGUGUGCUCCUCUCCCAAGGUCGAGGUACUUGGAUGAGUGAGUGAGUUCAUUGGCUUCCCCUUCAACUGUCCGAUCUCUGUCCGUCGUGACCCGCAAGUAUCUAAGUUUCAUAGCAGAAGAAGAUCAAACAGGCAUAGGCACAGCAAUAGCAAGUUGUACCACUGUGUUUGGUGGACGACCUUGUGGGCUCAGAUGUGAGCACGGCUUCUUGCUGACCGGGAACUCCUCUAUGAUGGCAUUGACCCGAUCUAGACGGCCCAGGUCCACGCCGCUACUCCUCGCUUGGCACCGCAGCUUUAGGGGAGAACUUUGCCACUUCCUGGUUUGGACAAGGAGAGUAGGAACAGUUUUUGACUGCCUGACAGACUCGGUACAAUUUGCUAAAAUUUGGUUAGGUCGAUGUGCCGAUGUGUGUGGGGAUUGACAUAUGAUGCCAUGCAAUUGUUUAGGGUGAAAGGGAGUUGAUUUUUAAAGGUUACCAGAACCAUGCUUUCCUUGCAGAAGCAACUCGGAUCAUGGUUUAGAAUGUGAACUAUGACAGAUAGUAGUGUAUCCUUGUUUUCUCGCCUGGGAAAUAUUUGUAUUGGUGGUUGGCUGCUGUUGUUCGCCUGCAAGCAAGCUUUGAUGUCCUGUUGUUAUAUUUGUCAUGUUUAGUCAUGAAUUUGUGAACUUGACGCAUAAUUGUCCUUUUUAUGUUGCGGCAAAACUUUCAAC
rnacentral:rRNA from 1 species